AAACCAUGUGUUGGACAUUGUAACAAUAGUUCCUUAAACCACAACCAUGUUUCAUGUAGAGGUUCACCUCCAAUGCGUUUAAAAUUUUGGAUUUGAGUUCUAAGUUU